ACGAACUUCUGCGAUCGCGGUAGUUUUUUCCCGCGAAAACUUGUUGAAUCAUUUUCACACAAUGUUUCUCCACUCUUCCAAUCCCAAAGUCUCGAAUCGUCUAUGAAAAAAGAAGAACAGAUCUUCACUGCGCUCUGUUUAUGUAAGUUCGAAGGCUCGAGGGGGGGUGUUUGAUGAGGUUGCCUUGCAUGAAAUGGAUUUGGGGGGCGGAGGCUUGGAAGUAGUUAUUGCGAGAUUUCGAUGGCGUUGAUGUGUGCGGUCGUGUCACAGUUCCCGAUUACGAUGGAUCAUCUGCAAAAUAUUGGAGCAACGCUUGCAGGCUAUGUGAAUAAGAUAAUGAAAAGAAGCUUAAUGACGUAAAGGCUAGGGAUCAGGACAUGAAAAAGUUGGUGAGUAACAUGUUAUGCUGUGGUGGGGCAUGCUGAUGCAGGGAAUUUCUGUCUUUUAUUCUCUGGUACCACCUCCACCUUACCAUUUGCUAAACAGGUAUCUCCUUAUACAUGAACUGCAGAUAAAGAUCUUGAGACGAGAGUUUGACAGGUUCAACAGUCGAGAAUGUUGAAGACUUGAAUUCAGGAAACGUUUAAUGGAAGAGUAGAAGAAAUAAUGCACUGCUUGCUUUUUUAGAUGUUUCUAAAUACUCAGACGUCCUUGGACACAAGUUAUAGCGCUUAAAGAUUGCAAGGUGAAUGCUGCUAUUCUUCUGAGCCAGAAACACGUAAAAGACGAAUGUCACAGAGUUUCUUCAAAUUCAUCUGUUAGAAAAUAGCUUCUGCUUACCCGAGAGCUGGGAUUGUCUGCAAAAGUAAAUUGGUUCUUCAGGUGCAACAGCUUCAAAUUUGCAAAACCCAUCAUCAAAAUUUAGAGCAUAGCUGCAAGGAUCAUAUUGAAAAUUGAACCUUCUU